AUAGCAUCCACAAGUUCUGUCAACCAUAACUCAAUUGAAGUCAAUCAAACCAAACCCACUUCCAAUCUUAAAGCAACUAGGACCUAUUGUAGAUGUGGUGACAGGUUCUUUCCAGAACACCAAUGUAAGCCUAAAACAGCCCUAGCCAAUUAGAGGACCAAGUGAAGGAUGGCACUGAGGAAUGCGUGGAUGGUGGGCUAGUUGCGCUACCUGAAGAGGAGUUAGCAGUUGAGCAGCCUGAAAUGACACUUUCAGCGCGUACUAUUGAGGGAAGUCAG
rnacentral:misc_RNA from 1 species